AGCAGCUGCAGUGUAAGGAUGCAGGAAGAGAUUGUCAUGCUUGAAAUUAUGUGCCUACUUUCAUCAUUGGACGGUAGUGUCUUUUUUUUCUGCCCAUUUGUUAUUUGAUUAUUUAACUUGAUUGAUUCCCCUGAGGGUUCUUUUUAAUAAAUGAAAACCUAUAUCCAGUAAAUGUUUUGAGCCAGUUAGGGGUUGAUUUUUGUUGAAGGUGGAAAAAAGCAUGCAGCUGAUUGAAUGAGACAGCUGAACUGAAUCAAGAGACAAAUUGCAUCAGAUGAGAAGCUCAGCCAGUGUUUAGCCGUGUUCGCACGGGAUUAGUAUUAUCUGGGGACAUUGUAUGAUUUUGAAACACAUGAUUAUCUGUAACACAUUAACCUUGAAACCUUUUCAGCUUUCUCUUUCUGCAAAUUGUAUAGUUGUAUUUUGUAGUAUAGCGAUAUGACUGCACCCAAAACACACCAACACAGCUCCAUUCUUUGCAGAGAUGGAUUAAAAAAAGGCGCACUGGAAACAAAAACCUCACAAAAUGAAAUACGACCUGCUAAAUGCUGGCAAAAUCACAGAUGUCGAUUUGCAUGGGACUUAUAUUAUCAGAGGACCUCGGUUUUAAGAAUCAUUUCCUCUACUUUUUAACUUGUUUGUUUUUAUGUACAGACAAACUGUGACUCUGAGGAAUAAUCAAUUUAGAAGAGCUAGACAGUGGCAAACACUUAAUUGUCAUGGGCUGUGACUAUACAAUGUGUGAUGUUGCCCCGCUAUACAUGUCUUGGGUUUGACUGACCAGGACUUGACCAGAGGACUCAAAGAGCAGGUUUUGCUACUUGUAAGCUGGGCAGCUUCUUGGAGUUGGAUGUGCUGCUGUCCUGUAGCUUGAUAGCAGCUCACUUUUGAUGCAUUCCCCCCCACCCCCUCCCCGAUAG
ensembl:lncRNA